ACCGUGCCUGUUUUCCUCCCGUCUUGUUCUUCUGGCGAGACAGCCAGAGAAGGAAAAACAGGCGCUGCUGUUUGUACAAAUCCAGCAAGAUCUUUUCUCCUCUGAUGGCUCGCGUCCCAAGGCCUGCAGCGAAACCAGCUCAGACGUCUGCGCGAGCGGGGGCAUCAGACGCUCGUGUCCACUGACUCCUCGUUUUCUCUCAAGUGGGACCAGAAAGACGCCGCAAGGGGGCACUCGAGCGGAAAAAGCUAAGAGUGAGACCGGUGGAAUAUAUGUGCCGAGGAAGUGACUUUUACCGAGACCAGACCGGCAGAGGUGGAGCGGCGCUAAGUGAUUUGCCAAAUAUGGGGAGUAGCCUGAAACCUCGGCGGGGCUGACACAUUACUGGCAUAGCUGAGCUUAUCCUUCCACAUGCACACGGGCUCCGAACCACGCCAGGAAUCCCCGGGACACAAGGUACAAGCUCGGAGGAGAGGACGUGCGCUAACUCUGCUCUGCUUUGUGCUUCCAUACAGAAACAAAAAGCGCCUUCCUGGCCCGGCUUGCAGACAGUUAUUGUUACUUGAUUUAAUUGAAGGUUACACACAAAGGGUUUCUUAUAAACGCUUGGACACUUUGCAUAGUUGCAGUAAAUUCCAAGUGCAAUCAUGCCAGUUAUUUGCAGCCUUGCGAAGUGGGAGCUGAAAUAGUCGCAUCGUUCUUACCUCCGGAGAUUAUUUCAAGUACGUGCAUGAGGCCCAAUACAAGAACGGUCACCUUACAAUGAUGAAAAUACUCACUUUUGAUAUCCUUUUGAUCUGCUGCGUUUGUUAUUGCAGUUGCAGUGGUGUAUAACCCCCCCGCCAGCACGGUGACUCAGUGGGUAAAGCGUUGGCCUCACGGUUCUGAGGACCCGGGUACGAUCCCGGGCCCCGCCUGUGUGGAGUUUGCAUGUUUCCCCGUGCCUGCGUGGGUUUUCUUCGGGUGGGCACUCCCGUUUCCUCCCACAUCCCAAAAACACGCAACAUUAAUUGGACACGCUAAAUUGCCCCUAGGUGUGAUUGUGAGUGCGACUGUUUGUCUCUAUGUGCCCUGCGAUUGACUGGCAACCAGUUCAGGGUGUAACCCAGCCUCCUGCCUGUUGACAGCCAGCAUAGGCUCCAGCACUCCCGUGACCCAUGUGAGGAUAAGCGGCAAAAAAAUGAAUGGAUGGAUGGAUGGAUGGAUGUUUGUUCUUGCUGUUGCAGUGGUGUAUAACUUCAUUUUUUGGGGGAUUAUCUUUAAACAAUAAGCAUCCAGAUACCAUCAUGGACCUGAAACAAGUGCUAAAAAUUGUUGCUUCUGCUUUGCGCUGCCAGAUAUACCGCAAAAAGUUCAAGGUUAGUACAUAGUCUUAGAAAAAAAAAAGGCAGUCGUUCUAGUAGAACCUGUUCAUAAAGAAGAAAUCAGCUGAAUGUCGUAAAUAGACACACAGUAGGAGGGAAUUCUAAAGGCUCAGAUCGGGGCCCAAAUUUCCAUCAUCUGUUUUACGGGAGGAAUUUUCUCACAGGUGUGUAUCAAUUGUUUGGUGCACGACUCGCCUGCUCAUAGAUGACAGCGAGCUAUUUGUUUCACUGUCAACAGAGCACGUCUGUGCCACUAAUCCGAGCAACAGAAAAAUCAAUUCAUUAGCCAGUCCCUCAGUGGUCAUGUGACCAUGUCUGGAGUUCCACCCUGCCAAUUUUGGAAUGCACGUACCUGUUGAAAUGUGUCAAAUUGAAUUCUGACAUCAGGGUUAAAAGGUCCAUAGUGAAAUGAACUAAAUGAGGUGAGCAAAAUAAAAUGUUGGACAAUCGGGAUGAUGCAGGUCAGCACAAGAAAACUAAGACCACAAGCGACAUGGGUCAAAUUUGUUGCAGGUCCCAAGUGCACUGCUGUAACAUUUGGAAAUGACUUUCAUAGCAACAGGUCGCUUCUAAGACCAAAUACAGAGCAGUUAGCGUCAUAGUCGAGCUGGUCAGACCUUGAAAAUGGAAAAUUUGUCUUGAGGGCGUAGUUGUGUAAUGCUUUAGGAUCCACAGAUUGCAGAAGUCCACGGAAACACAAACUUUGUUGUCUUUGUAGCAGAAUUCCAAAUAAAUACAGGGACAGACAAACAAAAACGCAAAGGCAUAACUCGUGGUCGGGGGGCAGGAGGUUGGCCAAACAGCCGUGGGAACAGCCAAACAUGAAAUGGCGGAAAUCGAGGUCGGAGAUGGACAGCGGAGGGGAUUUGCGGGGUCGCGUCUUGCACGGGUGAGUUGCAAACAAUCUGAUAAAUCGAAUCCAAUUCGUGGAUUUGAGUUUGUCAGACUAAAUGCAUUUUUUAAAAAAAAUAUAUGUAUAUAUAUUUGGUAGCAGGCUUAGCACUUCAAAUCAUUUUCUCGUUAGUUUCCGUAUCUUUAGGAAGGAGGUUUUCACGAGACUGGGCAUUGCUCAUUUCCAAGGCGCAAAAGAAGUGAUUUACCAACAUUGGAAACAUUCGAACGUGAUAUUGUGAUACGCAGUGAAAGCAGGGAGCAGGUGGAGGAACAAUUGGAAAGAUGGAGGGAUGCACUGAAAAAGAGAGGAAUGAAGAUUAGCCAAAGUAAAACAGAAUAUAUACGCAUAAAUGAGAGGGGCGCAGGGGGAAAAGUGAAGCUCCAGGGAGAGGAGAUAGCGAGGGUGGACGACUUCAAAUACUCGAGGUCAACAAUACAGAGCAAUGGUGAGUGUGGUAAGGAAGAGAAGAAAAGGGGUCCAAGCGGGGUGGAACAGUUGGCGGAAGGUGUCUGGUCUUUUAUGUGACAGAAGAGUCUCCGCUAGGAUGAAGGGCAAAGUUUAUAAAACAGUAAUGAGGCCGGCCGUGAUGUACGGAUAAGAGACGGUGGCGCUGACGAGACAACAGGAAGCAGAACUGGAGGUGGCAGAAAUGAAGAUGUUGAGGUUCAAAAAAAUCUUGACACUGGCACUAAAUCAGAAUAGGGCACUUGAGCGUGCAGUGGAAAUGCAGCCCAAGGUUUUGUCGAUUAGCAGAGCCAAUCAAAAUGUCAAAGCAGCCAGACUCUAUUUCUUCGAGAGCGAGCACAGCGGGGAGGAGGAGGAGGAGCUGCUGAGUAAACAUGUGACUUCCACGCAACGGAGUUCUCUAUACGGUGCUCUUGCUGAGCAAACCUCGAGAGAGGUCAAGCAACCCGAGACAGAGCAGUCAGGGGACUGACAGCAAAUGGGAGCAAGACGAUGAUGGAAGGGACGGGAAAGUGAAGGAAAAGGCAGAAAGGGGAGGGUAUGUGAAGGCCAUGUUUGCGCCCCGUUUGGCGUCACUCACCCACAGGUCAGGGUUAUGAGGCAAGACUUCAUGCAGCAGCUACUCACAAACAACCAAAAGCCCCUUUAUCGUAGAGAUCGUGCCAAAGGGCAGCAGAAAAGCUGUCGCGGCUGAUUUGAUCAUCUUUUCUUUUUGAUACACAACUCAACGAAGGAGUCGAGUGCCACAACCGUUUGGGCCACCAUGUGACAUAUUGAAUGUGGACAGUGGCAGAAGAGGGCGAGAGGUCUUGCGCACAGGACAUUUUAUUUCUGUCAGUUAUUCGCCUAACUUGCACGAUGAUCAGAAUCAGCCCCCGUUGCCGCAAAAUUCGUCGCUACAAAAAUAGAGCCCUGAAUCUCUACAGUUCACCACAAUAUAGUUCUGUCUUUGCAUGUGCUUUCAGCAAUUGACCCCUCCGUGGAUAUUGCGCAAUCCGCGUCACUGACCAAUCAGAGGCCAGAGAUGUGCAUAAACCAAAGCCCGUUUUUGCUCCCGCCAUUUUCUCAGACAACAUUGCAUGGUCCAGUAUAGGUUUAGUUAGCGUUUUAUCGCGUAUUUGGGUUAUUUAACAAAAGAUAUGGUUAAGAGGUGUAGUCACGGACUUUGUAAUAGUGACGACAAGUAUCCUGAAAGGCGAGUUGGUGGAGUUCGAUUCGUACCCUUUCCAAAACCGAAGACCCAGUACGAAAAAUGCCUUUGAUGGAUCAAACUUUGUGGAAGACCGCAUCAUCAACUAAAUCCAUCUAAUAUCAACCGGAACACAUGUUUGCACGAAGGAAAGCCUUUGUGAGUUCCAGCAAAGACGCGUGGAGGAGAGUCUGGAAAGUCCGGGCUGACUCAACGUGCCGUCACCUUCGCAGAAUGCAGUGAGCCAGCGCAGACGACGGCGAGCGAGAAAGGCAGACGGCGAGGUCGCAGGCACGCUGUCUGAAAACGCAGCUGAGGCAUGGUGGAGGUACCGAGAGAAAAGCUACUCAAAGGCGGGGUGCACCAUCCAAACUCCACACAGGGAUUCGAUCCGAGACUUCUUUGCGGUGAGGCGGUGCCAACCACUACUCCGUUGCUUGGGGGAGCAAAGGUCGCGAUUUGGACUUGGCAUCGGCCGCAUGCACAUCUGUAUUUGCACCGAGGGUCAGCCGUGCUCACCGGGGGUUGGGGGGGGACGCCGUGAUCAAGGAUGAGGGUCACAGGAGAGCUGGAGCCUAGCCCAGCUAGCUUCGGGCGAAAGGCGGACAACACCCCGAACUGGUUGCAGGGUAGAUAUCGACAUUAUCACUGAGCGGGAAUCGACCAAGCAUCAAAGGCAGCGCUGUGGCUCCCAAACAAACAGUUCGUUUCCUUUGACUUCAUCGACAGACUUCACGCACCACCGUCACGACUGAGAGAUACCUACACGCUUAUGUACAGACGUUCCUAAGAGUUUUACAGUCUUCACUUUUCCUACUCUGCAAACGCUGCUACUGAACACAACAUGGUUAACGGUCAAUGACGGCGUGACCUUGCCUUCAUGACGGUGAAUUGUGAUCAGCCCACCGGGUGAAAGCGUGGAUAAUCACAGUUGCCAAAGAUGGCCACGCACAACGAAGCACUGCUCACCUACUCCAGGUACCAUGGCAUGAUAAAGGAUGGAUAAUGAAAACGGCCUGACUUUUUAACAUAUUCAAGGUAAUAUUAAUGCUGCACAUUAACAUAUUGCUACCUUGAAAGGAACAACAACUAGGCCGGGCCGUUAGCAUUUUUACAAUUGAAAUAAAUGCUGGGACCGGCAUGGUGGCGCAGUUGUAAAGUGCUGGCCUCAUGGUUCUGAAUACCCGGGUUCAAUCCCGGCCCUCCCUCUGUGGAGUUUGCGUGUUCUUCCAGUGCCUCCACGCGUUUUCUCCGAGCACUCCGGUUUCCUCCCAGAUCCCAAAAACAUGCAUUAUUUGGAGACUCUAAAUUGCCCCGAGGUUGGAUGGUGAGUGGGACUGUUGUCUAGCUCGAUGUGCCCUGUGAUUGGCUGGCAACCAGUUUAGGGUGUAGCCUGCUUCCUGCCCGAUGACAGCUGGGAUAGGCUCCAGCACUCCCGCGACCUUUGUGAGGAUAAGCAGCUAAGAAAAUGGAUGGAUGGAUAGAGAGAUAGAGCUUCUUAACGACGCAGAUAACACGGCUGACUAGGUUGGGUAGCAUCAGCUUUGUUACGCUUUGACGUUACUUCAGAGUAGAAAGAUGGCUUCCAAUUUGACGAGGAAUAAGUACUUUUGCUGUUUUGCAUUUUGAUUAAUAAUGAAAUCAUUUACUUGCUGUUCGCUACUACACCAAAUAUU